AAAUUCCUUCGUGAUUUGAUUGACAGCGGUCGCGUGAUAAACACUGAUAAUGAAAUUGAAAUAUUCUAUCGUUCUAUCGAUGGGAUUUCUUAUGAGCCUGUGAGCUUGAUGGCUUGAAAUCGAAGGAGGAACAAUGACAAAACUCAACUGAGCUCGACUGAUUUGUCAGUGUGAUUUUACAAAUCUAAGAAUGAAUAUAUCCUAACAUUACAAAUCUAACAAUAAAUAUCUCCUAUCACUUG